rfam:Neosartorya udagawae DNA, contig:Aud0170, strain: IFM 46973.
GCACCUAUGGCUCAGUGGUAGAGCAUUCCACUUGUACUGCCAAGAAUGGCGAUGGAAAGGUCCGCGGUUCGAUCCCGCGUGGGUGCA